rnacentral:rRNA from 1 species
GCGGGAAUUCGAUUGCAGGUGAAAUCGGUGAAGAUGAGGACAGCAGGUGAAAUCGGUGAAGCGAAUGAUUAGAGGUCUUGGGGCCGAAACGAUCUCAACCUAUUCUCAAACUUUAAAUGGGUAAGAAGCCCGGCUCGCUGGCGUGGAGCCGGGCGUGGAAUGCGAGUGCCUAGUGGGCCACUUUUGGUAAGCAGAACUGGCGCUGCGGGAUGAACCGAACGCCGGGUUAAGGCGCCCGAUGCCGACGCUCAUCAGACCCCAGAAAAGGUGUUGGUUGAUAUAGACAGCAGGACGGUGGCCAUGGAAGUCGGAAUCCGCUAAGGAGUGUGUAACAACUC